GUUGUGGCUCAGCGGUAGAGCGCUCACCUAGCAUGAAAGGCCCUGGGUUCGAUCCUCGGCACAACA
rnacentral:tRNA from 1 species